CCGGGCUCCGCCGUGACUUUCUUCACCCCGGCUGGUGGCCCGAUGCUAGGGCUGUGGCGGUGCGAAGUGGCUCACCGACCGGCCUGCGUGGCGGGGACCGGCCUGCGUGGCGGGGACCGGCCAGCCGAGCCCGCCCAGUCCUGAGCGCAGCGCCUGCGGCUGCGGGCUACACCUGUCCCGCCGCAAGUCCGCCCCGCGCGGGGGACCGGGGGUGCUGCCGGGCACGAAGCUCAACGGGUUCUGUGCUGCAAGCGGCGGCUCGCGCCUGGGAGACCAGCGGCAGGAAGUGCGGGCAGCGGCCGGCCAGGUCCCCGGGGAGGCCGGGGCGCGGCGUGCACGCUCCUCCGCGCAGCUGGCGAGCCGCACCGCCCCCGCGGCACCUCCAUGCGCCCCUGGCCUGCUCGCUAGUCGCUGUCCUCCAGAGGAUUCAGCAGGACCGUUCCUCUUCCUCGGCCGCGAGCACGUGCGCGGGGGUGCGCGCGGAGGUCACGGUCACUGCGGGGCUCAGGGAAGGAGGCGCCGUGCCUGCAGGACUUCCCUUCGCUUGGGCGCAAGCCGGCGAUUAGCCUGGUCCCCUAGGACAUCUCCAGGGCUCCGGGGAACCUCUCCUGCGCAGGCUUGGCCCUGCCUCCUCCAAGCGUCCGAGUCUUUUUCGGCUUUUCGUGAGCCUCAGAGAGGGACGUUUCCUGCCAACGCUGCUGCGAAGGAAAGUUUGGGCGGCGUUAUCCCGACUGCCUUCCUCGCCAGCGCCGGCGAGCAGCUUGGGGACACAGCCGACGCCCGGGCAUCCUCCCCGACGACCCCCCGGAGCGCUCCCAGUUCAGACUCCUUUCCGAGAAGCGCGCAGAAGUGACAGCCCCGGAGCUUCGUUCCGGUGUAGGUGUGGGGAUGCGCCGCAAGGCAGGAGGGGAAGGCGCUCCAGUUGAAGGGGGCACCCCGGGGCCCGCGCCGACUCCUCCCGGCGCAGCCUUGGCUCGCCGGAGUCGCGGGUCGGAGGCUGGCGCCGCUGCCCGCCGACCAGCACCCUGGCGCCAGGCGCCCGGCUCCACGCCGCACCCUUGGCGACGCUGUGCGAGGGGCUCUAGCGCCCGCCGCGGCGCAGUCUCGUGAACCCCCGCUCCAAUUUUUUCCUACGGAGGCGCAGAGGAGGGUGAAUUCGCGCUCUCCUUCCCGACGCCCCGGCUUCUGGGAGCGUCAGAGCAACGGAAGUACGUACAGGAGGACCGAGAGCAGCAGGGAAGUUUGGCGGUGGGCUGGGGUCGGCGGCGAAGAUUCCCUGCCGUGCGCUGCCCCCUCGUGGCCGCUUUGCGUUCCCGUCGGGAAGGGCUGGGUUCCAGUCCAGGGCCCAGCACAAACCAGGAUUGGUUGGACGCUGCACAGCGAGUUCAGUCAGGGCUAACAUCAGAAGAGUCGUGGGGGGCCUGCCUAUCGGCCAGCCUGUCCUUGUGGUUUGUGAAGUUGUAUGAUCUUUCUGUUAUUAUUAAGGAAAAAAGUAGUAUUUGUUGAGGCUAAAAGGCCAAGAGCGUGCUAUAUAUUAUUUAAUCCUCUAAACAGCUCUGCCAGAUAAUUAUUUUAUUUAUUUAUAUUUACUUCCAUAGCUUUAGACAGGAUCUCGUUCUGUCAGGCAGGCUAGAGCGCGGGGUGCUAUCACGGCUCACUGCAGCCUCAAACUCUUGGGCUCAAGCCAUCCUUUCACCUCAGCCUCCUGAAUAGUUGAAACUACAGGUGCGCCACCACGCCUGGCUAAAUUUUUAAUUUAAAUUUUUUGUAGCGACAGGGUCUCCUUAUGUUGCCCAGGCUAGUCUCAAACUCCUGGGCUCAAGAGAUCCUCCAACCUCAUCUUCACAAAGUGCUGGGAGUACAGGCGCCAGCCACGGUGCCCAACCUGUGAUAAUUAUUUUAAACUCAUUUUACAAAUGAGGAAAGUGAUAUUCAUACUUGUAAAGCCAUUGGGGCUGAAUUUUCAUUUUUGUAUCCACAGAACUAACACAUAAAGUUUACAUGCCAUUAGAAUGUAAGCUCUCUGUAAGCUACAGAUCUUUUCUACUGUAAUAUCCUUAGUGCCUAGGGCAGUGACUAGCAUAUAGUAGGUGUUCAAUAAAUAUUUGUAGAAUUAAUGAAAGGAUACGUCUCUCUUUCUCUCUCUCCCUCUCUCUCUCUCUCUCUCUCAUCACCUACUGGUGAUUUGAAGGCAGAUCUUAGUAUCUCAAUUACACAUAUCCUGUGCUUAUAUCAGGAUGCUAGUCCCUGCUGCCUCUGCUUCCCAACCCACAUGACAGAAAAUGCGGUCAAAUCUUCAUGAGCCUUUCUUCCAACAACAUCAGCCACUCCUGGAAGUUCUAAAACUCUAUCACUAGUAUGGACCAGUGGUCACUCUUUGGACCCGUGUGCCUUGGCCACAGGAGCAGGAUCAUCUGGAACCUGGCAGCACUCUCUGUAGUCACACAGGAGAAGUGAGAAUUUCCAGAAGAAUUGCCGUGCUGGGCAGUCAGAACCACAGAUGCCCGUGCCAGAAGCUCACCGCCACAUCUCUGCCCUCAGUACAUCUUUAUCUUGCACGACCCAAGACAGACAAGAGCAAGAGAGAGCCACUUAAGCCCACCUUUCCCAGCUUUCUUCUCUCUCCACUUUACCCCUUUUGCCCCUGCCAUAACCAGCACCCACAGGACACACAGACUAUGCACCCAGAUGUCCACAGUGACUGGGCAGGGCAUGAAAUUAACGAAGCAGGGUGAACCCCAGGCAACAGGGCCUGGUGGGGACUGCAGUGAGCUUUGUCUGCACCCUUCAGAGGAAGUAGCUGCUGCCCAGCUCCAGCCCUGGGGGAAUGACGACCAAAUGUUGCUAGACCUUCAUACCUUUCAAGAGAAGUUGGAAGUGCUGCUUUUUACAUGACAUCUCCUGAUGUUCAACAGUUGGCAACCGAUUUAGUUCUCAAAAACCACCAUAUUAGCCAAACAAAAUAAAUGUGUGGUCAAAUUGGCCUACAGACCGCCAGUUUACAAUUUCUGGUUGAAGUAGCCAAGUACACUGUGCUACAGCGUGAGGGAAUUUGAGGGUGUGAACUAAAUAGUUGAAGUAUUACAAAUACAGUCU
rnacentral:lncRNA from 1 species